CAAGACAAUAGUGAAAAUCAAGAACACAACAUUGACAUUUAACAACAAAUGCGAAACAAUCUCGCAACAAUAUUAGAGCUACAUCUUACAUAUAGGACGGAUGAAUAAAUCACAAACCCUAAAUUAAUACAAACCAAUUAAUGCAAUUGACUUCCUUGUUGAUGAAGAACAAUAUAAACAAGAAGAAAGAAAAAGAAAAGAUGAAAAAGUCAUAAUACGUGCAAAUGUCUUUGAUCAAACUAUUUAGGAGAUAAGACGUGAGUGCAUUAGCUCCAGAUUAAGUUUUCUCAUAUACAAAAGGCUAGCUGAUUCCUUUGUAGAUAUCUACAUUCUAAAUUUCCAAAUGUAAUUUGGAUAGACCAUUUCUUGAAGCAAUCAAAUGCUUUAAUUUGUUCUUCUUAUUUUAAAAGAGUAUGUC
rnacentral:lncRNA from 1 species